GUGCACCAGUCGCGAAUUUUUCUCAAUGGGGGAAACCCUGAAGGAGCGACGCCGCGUGGAGGAUGAAGGUCUUCGGAUUGUAAACUCCUGUCAUUUGGGAACAAGUUGCAUCGAUUAACUGUCGAUGCAUUGAUAGUACCAGAAGAGGAAGAGACGGCUAACUCUGUGCCAGCAGCCGCGGUAAUACAGAGGUCUCAAGCGUUGUUCGGAUUCAUUGGGCGUAAAGGGUGCGUAGGUGGCGGGGUAAGUCAGGUGUGAAAUCUCGAGGCUCAACCUCGAAACUGCACUUGAUACUGCCUUGCUAGAGUACUGGAGAGGAGAUUGGAAUUUUACGGUGUAGCAGUGAAAUGCGUAGAUAUCGUAAGGAGACCAGUGGCGAAGGCGAAUCUCUGGACAGUUACUGACACUGAGGCACGAAGGCC
rnacentral:rRNA from 1 species